rnacentral:misc_RNA from 1 species
UCUCCGUUGGUGAACCAGCGGAGGGAUCAUUACAGAGUUUUUAACUCCCAAACCCAUGUGAACCUACUAUUUUGUUGCCUCGGCGGGUUCUGCCUCCCAUCUCGGGAGCAGGCUCAAGCCCGCCGGUGGCCCAACUAAACUCUUGUUUUUAACGUAUCUCUUCUGAGUACAAAUUAUAAAUGAAUCAAAACUUUCAACAACGGAUCUCUUGGUUCUGGCAUCGAUGAAGAACGCAGC